CUGAGAAGUGACUGAGGAAGUCCUCCCGGCUCUCUUUUGAACUAGUGCUCCAUUUACAAAGGAAGCUAAUUUUGUGUGUCGCUUUAGAAAGAUCUGGGAAACAGUUGUAGUAAUAACACUGCAGGUGCUAGUAUCAGGGCCUUAAACUUCGGUAACAAAAACCAUGAUUUAGAGAAAGGCCUGGAAACGGUGGGGAGUGGCUCAGGUUGCUCGGAGAGUGCUGAGGACUGGAUGGAACAGGACAACAGUGGGAGGGAAGUAACCCAGGCUCUCUAUUUUUGUUUUUUGUUUUUUGUUUUUGUUUUGUUUUCUUUUUCUUUUAACUUUCCUUCCCUAAGUUUUAGAUGCCUCUGGAUGUUCAAUGCUAGCACCUUUACAGACUGGAGCAGCUCGAUUUUCUUCAUAUUUACUUUCAAGAGCAAGAAAAGUGCUGGGCUCCCACUUAUUUUCUCCCUGUGGUGUUCCGGAGUUCUGUUCCAUAUCCACCAGAAAGCUGGCGGCCCACGGCUUUGGCGCGUCAAUGGCGGCAAUGGUGCCCUUCCCUCCCCAGAGGUAUCACUACUUUUUAGUGCUGGACUUUGAGGCCACAUGCGACAAGCCACAGAUUCAUCCUCAGGAAAUCAUUGAGUUCCCCAUCCUGAAGUUAAAUGGCCGGACCAUGGAAAUUGAGUCUACCUUUCACAUGUAUGUCCAGCCUGUAGUCCACCCACAGCUUACCCCCUUCUGUACAGAGCUCACUGGGAUCAUUCAAGCCAUGGUGGAUGGCCAGCCAAGCCUGCAGCAAGUGCUGGAG
rnacentral:lncRNA from 1 species